rnacentral:rRNA from 1 species
ACGAACGCUGGCGGCGUGCCUCAUACAUGCAAGUUGAGCGCUGAAGGUUGGUACUUGUACCAACUGGAUGAGCAGCGAACGGGUGAGUAACGCGUGGGGAAUCUGCCUUUGAGCGGGGGACAGCAUUUGGAAACGAAUGCUAAUACCGCAUAAAAACUUUAAACACAAGUUUUAAGUUUGAAAGAUGCAAUUGCAUCACUCAAAGAUGAUCCCGCGUUGUAUUAGCUAGUUGGUGAGGUAAAGGCUCACCAAGGCGAUGAUACAUAGCCGACCUGAGAGGGUGAUCGGCCACAUUGGGACUGAGACACGGCCCAAACUCCUACGGGAGGCAGCAGUAGGGAAUCUUCGGCAAUGGACGAAAGUCUGACCGAGCAACGCCGCGUGAGUGAAGAAGGUUUUCGGAUCGUAAAACUCUGUUGGUAGAGAAGAACGUUGGUGAGAGUGGAAAGCUCAUCAAGUGACGGUAACUACCCAGAAAGGGACGGCUAACUACGUG